UGUCUACUAGUUGUCGGGACUUAAUUGUCUUGGUAACGCAGCUAACGCGUGAAGUAGACCGCCUGGGGAGUACGGUCGCAAGAUUAAAACUCAAAGGAAUUGACGGGGACCCGCACAAGCGGUGGAUGAUGUGGAUUAAUUCGAUGCAACGCGAAAAACCUUACCUACCCUUGACAUGGCAGGAAUCCCGAAGAGAUUUGGGAGUGCUCGCAAGAGAACCUGCACACAGGUGCUGCAUGGCUGUCGUCAG
rnacentral:rRNA from 1 species